rnacentral:rRNA from 1 species
GACGAACGCUGGCGGCGUGCUUAACACAUGCAAGUCGAACGGUGAAGCGCCUUCCUUUUUGGUGGGUGUGGAUGAGUGGCGAACGGGUGAGUAACACGUGAGUAACCUGCCCCCUUCUUCUGGAUAACCGCAUGAAAGUGUGGCUAAUACGGGAUAUUCUGGUUCUGUCGCAUGAUGGGUCUGGGAAAGAUGUUGUUUCGGUGGGGGAUGGGCUCGCGGCCUAUCAGCUGGUUGGUGGGGUGAUGGCCUACCAAGGCGGUGACGGGUAGCCGGCCUGGGAGGGUGGACGGUCACACUGGGACAGAGACACGGCCGAGACUGCUACGGGGGGCAGCAGUGGGGAAUAUGGCACAGUGGGCGCAAGCCUGAUGCAGCGACGCCGCGUGAGGGAUGGAGGCCUGCGGGUUGUGAACCUCUUUCGCCAGUGAAGCAGGCCUGCCUCGUUUGUGGGUGGGUUGACGGUAGCUGGAUAAGAAGCGCCGGCUAACUACGUG